GGGAGCUCUCCCAUAUGGUCGACCUGCAGGCGGCCGCGAAUUCACUAGUGAUUCGUAUUACCGCGGCUGCUGGCACGGAGUUAGCCGGGGCUUUCUUGGUCAGGUACCGUCAUUAUCUUCCCUGCUGAAAAGGGCUUUACAACCCUAAGGCCUUCAUCACCCACUCGGUAUUGCUGGAUCAGGCUUUCGCCCAUUGUCCAAUAUUCCCCACUGCUGCCUCCCGUAGGAGUCUGGGCCGUGUCUCAGUCCCAGUGUGGCUGAUCAUUCUCUCAAACCAGCUACAGAUCAUUGGCUUGGUAGGCCAUUACCCUACCAACUACCUAAUCUGGCGCGGGCUCAUCCAUCAGCGAUAAAUCUUUCCUCCAAAGAGAAUAUACGGUAUUAGCAAUUAUUUCUAAAUGUUAUUCCGUACUGAUGGGCAGAUUCCCACGUGUUACUCACCCGUCUGCCACUAAUUUAUUUAAAGCAAGCUCUAAAUAAAUCCGUUCGACUUGCAUGUGUUAAGCAUACCGAAAGCGUUCGUUCUGAGCCAUGAUCAAACUCUAAUCGAAUUCCCGCGGCCG
rnacentral:rRNA from 1 species